CUGAUUUGUGAGCCAAAUUAUAAAUCCCCUGCUGAGGGGCAAAGAAACCUCUUGUUUACGGGGCUAAGGCUGUGCUGAAAAUAAAUGCCAGAUGUAAAGGCUGUGACAAUGAGCUCAGGAAGAUGUCAAGAGAUAAGGAAAGCAAAUUUUACCUGUAAUGGUAAAGAAAAAGGAGAAAGAACUCAACCGUCUACAAGACACAGCUGCUUGUCC
rnacentral:lncRNA from 11 species